GUGCUCGCUUCAGCAGCACAUAUACUGAAAUUGGAACAAUACACAGAAGAUUAGCAUGGCCCCUGCGCAAAGAUGGCCCACAAAUUCGUGAAGUGUUCCAUAGUUUU
ensembl:snRNA U6 U6 spliceosomal RNA